GUGCUCGCUUCAACAGCACAUGUGCUAAAAUUGGAGCAAUACAGAGAAGAUGGGCAUGGCCCCUGCACAAGGGCUACAGGCAAACUUGGGAAGCACUCCAUGUUUUU